GCAGAGAUGGGGCAGAGCUCCCGGAAAGUCGGCAAGAGUCAGCGGAGGAGCCUUCAGGCGUGCCAGGGAGCUGAGUUGAGCUCUUGUAGUACUGGAUUGCAAGAUAGAAAGAAUUGUUGCAAGGAAGUUGGACUUUGCCACAGCCACAAACUAAACAGGUGAGCACUGCGCUGGAAGUGAACUGGGAGCUGCUCUGAACCAUGGACGUUGUGGAGCUGAACAGAUGUCUGUCUCAGUCUGAGAUUUCAUUAAAAACAUAUAGCCAAAAUGGUUUAGACCUUUCCAAGGAGCUGGAAAUUUGUGCUGAAUUUGAGAAAAAUUUCAAAUAUCCCCAGUCAGUUUGAAAUCUUUCCAGAGAUGAUUGUUAAUAUUGAUGAAAAGAUAAUGUGAACAAGUCUCCUGCGAUAUACCCAACUCAUGCAAUGGGACAUUGAGCUGCUGCUGUAAAAGUUAAAGAACUGAAGAAAUCAAAACAGCCAGCAUCCUCACAUGCUCAUCAUCUCUCUCUCAAACUCCACUGGCGCUAUUCCUGCAACCAUUAAAAACUCUCCACAGGUCAUCGCCAUAACGACCGAGACGCAUCCAGUCCAAGUCAGCUGCGAACAACCUGAAAUUAGUGCCAACAGUGGAGAUGCUUCUAUAUCCAGCACCUGUUGCUAGUUUAAAGUAAUCAUCAAAAGUGAUCUUUCACGUACUACAAACUACUUCUGGUAGAGACACCAGCAGCAAUUCUGCAACCUGUUUCAGAUAAAGGGUACUGAUUUCCACCAAUGCCUGCAGGUCUGGCAUAUUUCUGUCAGACUUCUUACAUUACAUGCUUCUCUCGUUUGGAUGAAGCCUGGCAAACAGCAAAGCAUCAUAUACCAGAAACUCGCACAGAUGUUCCAAUAUGGCUUACAGGAAAGAUCAAAAGAAUAAUCCAGCACCAGACAGCGUCAACUGUAAAGGAUACCUGAACUGUUCUACUGUCAAGAUGUCUGGGUGGCCACAGACCUUCACCGAACUGACAGAUCAUUCUGAUUAGCUUUUUAAUCAUGGCUAGAGCAGGCUAUUUACAGCACUCCUGACUGCUAUAAACCAGUCCCUGUGGGGAAACAUCAUAAGUAAAAAAGAGAUUCUGAAGUAUCCAUGGUGACUAUCUGCCUGCAGAAUAUUGGAACUGACCCUUGAAGAAGGAAACUCCUAUUGUCAUCAUUUACCUGAAAUGAGAUGGAAGUAGCCAGUGCUUGAAGACAGUUUGCGGAGUCCAUUAUUAGGAAGCACAAGAUGGGAGUUCCUUUCGACUGUCACAACAUGGAGCAACACCCUGUGGCUGCCCUUCUUAAGAAGAAAUCGACCGGAUGACUGCAGAAUUCAUUACACCAGUGUAACAGCAAUACCCAUCCAAUACACAGAGGACCUUCAGAAGCACUUUCACUGCUACAGGCACACAUCUGUCAGCUUUCAUUUUCAAGUAUCAAGGUCUUCUUACAGAACAAAACAGCUUCUGCACAAGCAAGUCUCUUUGGUUGAGACUUGAACACCAUGUUGAAAGGAACUCCACCUAGA